GAUGGCUCCAACAUAUUGUCCAACAAUGAAGGUUGUCCGCUCAGUCAGGAAAAAGCUGAAAGUAAAAAAUGUAUGUAAUAUAUUAGGCCCUAUGUUAAACCCAGCAAGAGUACCAUAUGCUAUUGUGGGUGUCUAUGCAGAAGAUUUGGUUUUGAAUAUGGCUAAAGCAUUGCAGUAAUUUGGCAUGAAACGGGCAUUAGUUGUUCACUCAAAGGGCUUGGAUGAGAUGAGCCCCCUUGGACCUGGGCUAAUCCUUGAUGUUACACCAGAAAAGAUUGAGAAAUUCUCAUUUGAUCCAUGUGAGAAACUUGUCGCUAGUUUUUAAUUUUGUUUUCUUUUCCGUUCAAGGAAAUAUGCCAUUUGGGCUACCAAGAUGGAAUUUUAGAUGUUAUAUUGCCACUUCAAUCUGCUAACAAAUCGCUGAUUAUGCAGUGAACUUUGGGAUUCCUCGGUGUACCCUGGAUGACUUGUGAGGUGGAGGCCCAGAGUAUAAUGUCGAGGCACUAAAGGGUGUAUUGUCAGGGGAGAAAAGUUCAAUUGCAGAUACAUUUGUAAGUAUCUCCUUAAUUCUUAUGACAAAGC